rnacentral:rRNA from 1 species
CCUACGGGCGGCAGCAGUGAGGAAUAUUGGUCAAUGGGCGCAAGCCUAAACCAGCCAAGUCGCGUGAGGGAUGACGGUCCUAUGGAUUGUAAACCUCUUUUGUCGGGGAGCAAGGCCCGCCACGUGUGGCGGGAAGGAGAGUACCCGCAGAAAAAGCAUCGGCUAACUCCGUGCCAGCAGCCGCGGUAAUACGGAGGAUGCGAGCGUUAUCCGGAUUUAUUGGGUUUAAAGGGUGCGUAGGCGGAAGGUUAAGUCAGCGGUCAAAUGUCGGUGCUCAACACCGGCCUGCCGUUGAAACUGGUCGUCUUGAGUGAGCGAGAAGUAUGCGGAAUGCGUGGUGUAGCGGUGAAAUGCAUAGAUAUCACGCAGAACACCGAUUGCGAAGGCAGCAUACCGGCGCUCAACUGACGCUGAGGCACGAAAGCGUGGGGAUCGAACAGGAUUAGAUACCCGUGUAGUC